rnacentral:lncRNA from 1 species
CCUUCAAGAUAAGGAGGUGGUUUCAGAAUCUUGACAACAAUCCAACCAAGAAUUCCUCCGAGUAAGAAUGUAAGUCCCAUAUUCACCGGCAUAAACCACCUUUUUUUUUUUAAUCAUCAACAAGAACCCAAAUUAAAAAUUAACAGUUUUAACAUUUUGUUAACAUGGUGUAGAAAAGGGUGUUUUUUUUACCAUGAGAUCAUGUCCUCAAGUGUGACUGUCUGAGCCAGAUUUGCAAACAUGAGAGCCGGUGCAAAUAGUACAAACACCACCUACAGUUUUUGGAGUUCAUUAUAAGAUAACACACGAAUUUUAAUUCUUUGAUAUGUUUUUUGCAGAGAUCGAAAUAUCGGGUCAAGAUAUUGGUUUUACCUUGUUCAUGGAAUUGCGAGCUUCGACAGGGAAGAGCUUGCAUCUAUCAGUGGCCAAGAAAGCUCCAACAACACUUAUGAAGAGAACUUGAAUCACUGGCAUAGAAGCCACC